rnacentral:rRNA from 1 species
AUUGAACGCUGGCGGAAUGCUUUACGCAUGCAAGUCGAACGGCAGCACGGACUUCGGUCUGGUGGCGAGUGGCGAACGGGUGAGUAAUGUAUCGGAACGUGCCCAGUCGUGGGGGAUAACGUAGUGAAAAUUACGCUAAUACCGCAUACGAUCUAUGGAUGAAAGCGGGGGAUCGCAAGACCUCGCGCGAUUGGAGCGGCCGAUAUCAGAUUAGGUAGUUGGUGGGGUAAAGGCCCACCAAGCCAACGAUCUGUAGCUGGUCUGAGAGGACGACCAGCCACACUGGAACUGAGACACGGUCCAGACUCCUAUGGGAGGCAGCAGUGGGGAAUUUUGGACAAUGGGCGAAAGCCUGAUCCAGCCAUUCCGCGUGCAGGAUGUAGGCCCUCGGGUUGUAAACUGCUUUUGUACAGAACGAAAAGGUUUCUACUAAUACUAGGAGCUCAUGACGGUACUGUAAGAAUAAGCACCGGCUAACUACGUGCCAGCCGCCGCCGUAA